GACGAACGCUGGCGGCGUGCUUAACACAUGCAAGUCGAACGGAAAGGCCCUGCUUUUGUGGGGUGCUCGAGUGGCGAACGGGUGAGUAACACGUGAGUAACCUGCCCUUGACUUUGGGAUAACUUCAGGAAACUGGGGCUAAUACCGGAUAGGAGCUCCUGCUGCAUGGUGGGGGUUGGAAAGUUUCGGCGGUUGGGGAUGGACUCGCGGCUUAUCAGCUUGUUGGUGGGGUAGUGGCUUACCAAGGCUUUGACGGGUAGCCGGCCUGAGAGGGUGACCGGCCACAUUGGGACUGAGAUACGGCCCAGACUCCUACGGGAGGCAGCAGUGGGGAAUAUUACACAAUGGGCGGAAGCCUGAUGCAGCAACGCCGCGUGCGGGAUGAAGGCCUUCGGGUUGUAAACCGCUUUCGCCUGUGACGAAGCGUGAGUGACGGUAAUGGGUAAAGAAGCACCGGCUAACUACGUG
rnacentral:rRNA from 1 species